CUCCCCCGUUGCUGACCCCAGGUUCGAUAGCGCAAUUAGCGCCACCUCGCCAAGAACCAGCUUCGGUGAAGCGACGGGCGGUGUGUGCAAGGAG
rnacentral:rRNA from 1 species